UAAGUAGGCAACGCAGCAGCUAC
rnacentral:siRNA from 1 species